UCAUAUAUUGUGAGUUUCAAUACAAAUAUUGUUACAUAUAUAAUACGACAAUAUUCAUAUUUUAAUUAUUAUAAUGCCAUAUAAAGUACAGCAGCAAUUAUAUCAAGUCCCCGAAGGGACACGAGAAGAUUUUUGUUCUCCUUAUUAUAAUGGAGUGCACAUUUGACGCUUCCAAAUUCUGAUUCGCCUCACCCUAUUGUUGUUCACCAAAAUUAAAUAUCAAAUGAUGUAUAAAACAUGCCACACACAAUUUAAGUUCUCAGUACAAUUAUUAUGCCACACCGUUUCAUAAUUUGAUUAGGCUUGUGACUAAUUCGUAUCACCACUUUAUAAUCAUGUUCUCUCUGCUAGUCUCAGCUACACUUUUAUUACCUGAAAGGGGUGGUGAAGUAAAAGGGUGAGCACAAAUAGCCCAGUAAAAAAUAUCAUGACUUAAGAUAAUUAAAUUAUCAAUAGCCUUCAUCAAUAAUAAUUCAGAUAUUUUUAGAACAUAUGGUAGAAGAUAACAGUUUCCAACCAUAAUAGCAGCUGAAUCAACAAUCCAUUAGAAGAAUCAAGUAGAACAUAAUGUCUACUAUCUCUCCUAGAUUAAAAGUCUAUCGUUAAUAUUUCAUUCCUGUAAUACUCAUCAACAGUUCUUGGUUAUACGCAAGACAAAGAGAACUCUCAUCACCUGUCUUCACCUGAACCACCACAGAUUAUAAUUAAAUCACAAUUCAUAUUUAUAAUCAAGUAAAUCAACAGUCCAACUUUACACUACAUGCCAAAGAUAUACAACUGUAAAACCAAUAACCAACAGUCCAUCUUUGCACUACAUGCUAAAGAUAUACAACUGUAAAACCAAUAAUCAACAACCCAUUUUUACACUACAGGCCAAAGAUAUACAACUGUAAAACUAAUCACCAACAACCCAUCUUUGCACUACAUGCCAAAGAUAUACAAUUGUAAAACCAAUAAUGCUGAGACUCAGCUUAAUAGUAUCACGACCACGAAUUAUCCAUCCACUACGGGCCAAAGAUAUUCGUGUUUUCAAUUACGGUCAUGAUUAUACCGAAUAAUCCCUGGUCAUGAUCAUACCAAGUCCAUCUAUGCACUACGGGCCAAAGAUGACUUUUACUACAUCAUUUGUAACAUUACGGUCAUGAUUAUACCGAAUAAUCCCUGGUCAUAAUCAUACCAAGUCCAUCUAUGCACUACGGGCCAAAGAAGACUUUUACCACAUCAUUUGUAACAUUACGGUCAUAAUUAUACCGAAAAAUCCCUGGUCAUAAUCAUACUAAGUCUAUCUAUGCACUAUUGGCCAUAAAUGACUUUCAACACAUUAUAAGCAUGAGAAUGAUGACAAUGAUAUAUAUAAUGAAUAAACAUAAAUCAUCAGAAUAAUAAGAUAACAUAGAUCUUAGUGGUUUUCAACUUAAUUAUCCAGAGUCCAAAUUGAUAACAUAAUAAUAGAUGAAUCACAAACUAUUAAGGAUAUUCUAAUCCUUUCAGGACUUUUCACCAUUUAAUGAUAAACUGAAUAAACGAAUAAUAAUAUCUUACCAUAACAUGGAGUAUGAAAGAAAAUGAUAUUCCUUUUACCAUAAAAAUGAUACCCUCUUACCACAAUAAUGAUAUCCCUUACCUUAGCAUGUGACUUGAUUAUGCUUUCUGUGAAAUUGAUCAACUUUAACAAUGCUUGGAUUCCUUAUCUACACUUGGAGUAACAUUACACUCAAUAGAAAUACUCACAAUAUUGAAAUAAAAAAAUUCUAUAUUUUUAGUGUAGUGAUGGUGUGUGUUUAGUUACUCAACCGAGCAACCUAUUUAUACUAAAAAUUUAGUAAACAACUAGCAUGCCUGCUUUAACAAGUUAACCAAAUGAGGUAUAUAAAAAUGGUAGUGGAAUUUAUGGUCCCACAGAGAAAAUUAAACUAACUUGUACACAUUUUAAUAAAAUUUGUUCAAUAAUAGAGUUGUGGUCCAUACUACUUUAGUAAAAGUAGAGUGUUACUUUUGUAAAAAGAAAAUAAUUGAACAACCAUCUGUAUAUCAUACUUAUCUUUAAUCAACACCCUUUUCAAUCUUUGAACCAUUAUUCACAAUUAUUAACAUAGACUCUCAAUACUGCCAACUGGUUUAAUUAUGUCAUAUCAAAUAAUGUGAGUCACUGUGCAAUAACUAUUGUGGCAAUUAUUGAAUAAAAGACUGAGUGACUUCUUACAUAAUUAAGAAUCAAUAAUAUGAAUCACUGUGUAAUAACUACUGUGACAAUUAUUGAAUGAAAUACAAAGUGACUUCUUAUGUAAGAAUCAAAUUAAUACAUUACUUAUAAACAAUUCAAAUUCUAUUAAAAGUAAGGAUCAACAUCAAAUCAUAAUUAUCUCGAAUAACAUAUACACCAACUAAUAAUUCAUUGUUCAUUUAAGUUGUCUUUAUUUAUCGCAUAAUAUCAUUAUAUUUAAUAAUGUUCAUGUUUUACAACUUAGAACAACAUCCUUUAUCAUCGAAAACAUUACACGUUGCAUACGUGUAUGCCUGACGUCCUUCGAUUGCCUCUGAAUGCACAACAGCCCCUAAAAUAGCCAUUUUAGGCCUUGAUACCGACCUCAAAUCUCAAAACAUAAAUAAUGAAAGUUUUGGUUCUACUCGUUAUCUUUCCGAAUCAUCCUGAAUCACCUCAAUCGGAGUUCGUAUGAAAAAGUUAUGCCCAAUUUACUAAAAGACGUCCGAACAGAUUUUGGCUUAACACUCGACCAGCGCCUAGGCGCCCAAAUUUGGCCUUGGGCAAGUGCCUAGGCACCCAAGAACAGAUUCUAAGCGUCGAGCCUAGUGCUUAGGUGCUUGACCUUUGGCACUUAACUCCAAUUUUCCAAAUUUUGCGACUUUUGACACAUAUACUUCAAAAUCUUCAUAACUUCUUCAUCCGUUAUCGGAAUUAGUCUGUUUUCGAGGCUAUGGAAAGCUUGUAACAUGCUCUACAAAACCCCCAAUGAUUUCAUAAUUUUUCAGAUUCAUUAAUUAUUCCAAAAUUUGGCUCCAAAGUCCCCCAGGAUUAAGUUUUUCAUCGCUUAACAUGUUUUACAAAAACUUUCAUCACAACUUCAAUUUAAAUCAUUUUUUUGUUCUUUCAAAUUAGAAUAUUUCCAUAACUUCUUAAUCUAUAGAUCAUUCUCCUCGGAUAUUACACAUAAAUCAACUAUCAACACUUUUACAAGUUUGAUUUAAGUCCUCAAAAUAACUUUUAUUCAUCCUCAAACACAUGCCUAACUUUUUGAUCUUAAAUCUGAUUAUGAAAUGGAAUAAACAUAAAAUCAUCAUAUACUUCAUUAUUACUUUGGAUCCAUCAUUAUUCCCUAUAACCCAACCUUCAACAAAUCAAACUCUUAGGAAAAUUAAAGAGAUGAAAAGUUUUGGUUUUACCUUUUGUGUUCAUAUUCUACCUUCAUGCUUCCAUGGUUUCAUCUUCUUCUUUCUUCCUCUUUCCUUUCUCUCUUCUCUCUUUCUUCUUCUGAACAUGGCUACAGGAGGGAGUAUGAGAGAAUGAGAAAGUGUGCUGAAAAUAAAAAUGAUGGUAUUUUUCUUUUUCUUCCUUUCUUUUUCUUCUUCUUCUUCUUUCUCCUUUUCUCUCUCUCUAUCUUAUCAAUAUUUUGGGCUACGAAAGGAAGAGGUUGUGAGAAAAAUGAGAAAGAUAUCUCUUGAUUUUGCCUUAUUAGGCUCAAUCAAUUGCCUAACUCCCUUGUCCCACCAAAACUAAAUUAAACAAUCAAAGAAAAAGUUGGUGAGGAAUGUGUG
rnacentral:lncRNA from 1 species